CUCUAAUAAUGUGCUUAAAUAUAUUUUCAUUAUUUUGACAAGCGAAUUUUCUGGUUCUAAAUGUAUUUUUCAGUAAUUUAGUGCACAGUUUGCCCACACACACACAUACAGUUUUUCCUAGAGCCAAAAGCAUAUUCAACUUUGACAUUUGAACCUCCUCACACACACACACAGUAAAAGCGAGCGAUAGCGAGAGAGCUUUGCUUCAUUGACUCACAACUUGAUUAGUUGCCGGGACAAUUUUGUAGCGUUGUGUGGCACGUUGUAGGGUUACUUGUGUGUGUGUGUGUGUGUGUGU